AGUGAACGCUGGCGGCGUGCUUAACACAUGCAAGUCGCACGAGAAAGCUUCUGCUUGCAGAGGCGAGUAAAGUGGCGCACGGGUGAGUAACACGUGGGUAAUCUACCUCCGAAUUGGGGAUAACGUUGCGAAAGCGACGCUAAUACCGAAUGACAUUCCUUGGUCUGCGGACCUUGGGAUCAAAGGUGGCCUCUUCAUGAAAGCUAUCGUUUGGAGAUGAGCCCGCGGCCCAUUAGCUUGUUGGUGGGGUAAUGGCCUACCAAGGCCGCGAUGGGUAGCUGGUCUGAGAGGAUGAUCAGCCACACUGGAACUGACACACGGUCCAGACUCCUACGGGAGGCAGCAGUGAGGAAUUUUGCGCAAUGGGGGAAACCCUGACGCAGCAACGCCGCGUGAGUGAUGAAGGCCUUCGGGUCGUAAAGCUCUGUCAAGUGGGAAGAACCCGCACAUGGUUAAUACCCAUGAGCGCUGACGGUACCACUGAAGGAAGCACCGGCUAACUCCGUGCCAGCAGCCGCGGUAAUACGGGGGGUGCAAGCGUUACUCGGAAUCAUUGGGCGUAAAGGGCGCGUAGGCGGCCAGGCAAGUCAGGUGUGAAAGCCCGGGGCUCAACCUCGGAAGUGCAUUUGAUACUGCUUGGCUUGAGUAUGGGAGAGGGAAGUGGAAUUCCUGGUGUAGAGGUGAAAUUCGUAGAUAUCACGAGGAACACCGGUGGCGAAAGCGACUUCCUGGACCAAUACUGACGCUGAGGCGCGAAAGCGUGGGGAGCAAACA
rnacentral:rRNA from 1 species